rnacentral:tRNA from 1 species
GGUGAUAUAGCUCAGUUGGUAGAGCAACGGACUGAAAAUCCGUGUGUCGCUGGUUCGAUCCCGGCUAUCACCA